AUUGAACGCUGGCGGCAGGCCUAACACAUGCAAGUCGAGCGGAGCGGCGGAAGGGUGCGUAAUGCCUAGGAAUCUGCCUGGUAGUGGGGGAUAACGUCCGGUACCGGGCGCUAAUACCGCAUACUAUCAGAUUAGCCUAGGUCGGAUUAGCUAGUUGGGGGGGUAAGGGCCCACCAAGGCGACGAUCCGUAACUGGUCUGAGAGGAUGAUCAGUCACACGGGAACUGAGACACGGUCCAGACUCCUACGGGAGGCAGCAGUGGUGAAUAUUGUACAAUGGGCGAAAGCCUGAUUCAGCCAUGCCGCGUGUGUGAAGAAGGUCUUCGGAUUGUAAAGCACUUUAAGUUGGGAGGCGUUACCAACAGAAGAAGCACCGGCUAACUUCGUGCCAGCAGCCGCGGUAAUUC
rnacentral:rRNA from 1 species